rnacentral:rRNA from 1 species
AUUGAACGCUGGCGGCAGGCCUAACACAUGCAAGUCGAGCGGUAGAGAGAAGCUUGCUUCUCUUGAGAGCGGCGGACGGGUGAGUAAUGCCUAGGAAUCUGCCUGGUAGUGGGGGAUAACGUUCGGAAACGGACGCUAAUACCGCAUACGUCCUACGGGAGAAAGCAGGGGACCUUCGGGCCUUGCGCUAUCAGAUGAGCCUAGGUCGGAUUAGCUAGUUGGUGGGGUAAUGGCUCACCAAGGCGACGAUCCGUAACUGGUCUGAGAGGAUGAUCAGUCACACUGGAACUGAGACACGGUCCAGACUCCUACGGGAGGCAGCAGUGGGGAAUAUUGGACAAUGGGCGAAAGCCUGAUCCAGCCAUGCCGCGUGUGUGAAGAAGGUCUUCGGAUUGUAAAGCACUUUAAGUUGGGAGGAAGGGUUGUAGAUUAAUACUCUGCAAUUUUGACGUUACCGACAGAAUAAGCACCGGCUAACUCUGUGCCAGCAGCCGCGGUAAUACAGAGGGUGCAAGCGUUAAUCGGAAUUACUGGGCGUAAAGCGCGCGUAGGUGGUUAGUUAAGUUGGAUGUGAAAUCCCCGGGCUCAACCUGGGAACUGCAUUCAAAACUGACUGACUAGAGUAUGGUAGAGGGUGGUGGAAUUUCCUGUGUAGCGGUGAAAUGCGUAGAUAUAGGAAGGAACACCAGUGGCGAAGGCGACCACCUGGACUGAUACUGACACUGAGGUGCGAAAGCGUGGGGAGCAAACAGGAUUAGAUACCCUGGUAGUCCACGCCGUAAACGAUGUCAACUAGCCGUUGGGAGCCUUGAGCUCUUAGUGGCGCAGCU